AGUCAAUAGAUACCCGGGUAGUCCACGCCGUAAACGAUGAGUACUAGGUGUAGGAGGUAUCGACUCCUUCUGUGCCGCAGUUAAACACAAUAAGUACUCCGCCUGGGAAGUACGGUCGCAAGAUUAAAAACUCAAAGGAAUUGACGGGGGCCCGCACAAGCAGCGGAGCAUGUGGUUUAAUUCGAAGCAACGCGAAGAACCUUACCUAGACUUGACAUCUCCUGAAUAGCGCAGAGAUGCGUGAAGCCCUUCGGGGCAGGAAGACAGGUGGUGCAUGGUUGUCGUCAGCUCGUGUCGUGAGAUGUUGGGUUAAGUCCCGCAACGAGCGCAACCCCUAUUAUUAGUUGCUACCAUUAAGUUGAGCACUCUAAUGAGACUGCCCGGGUUAACCGGAGGAAGGCGGGGAUGACGUCAAAUCAUCAUGCCCCUUAUGUCUAGGGCUACACACGUGCUACAAUGGUGAGAACAACGAGAUGCAAUACCGCGAGGUGAGCAAAACUUGAAAACUCAUCUCAGUUCGGAUUGUAGG
rnacentral:rRNA from 1 species